AUUGAACGCUGGCGGCAUGCCUUACACAUGCAAGUCGAACGGCAGCACGGGUGCUUGCACCUGGUGGCGAGUGGCGAACGGGUGAGUAAUAUAUCGGAACAUGUCCUGUAGUGGGGGAUAGCCCGGCGAAAGCCGGAUUAAUACCGCAUACGAUCUACGGAUGAAAGCGGGGGACCUUCGGGCCUCGCGCUAUAGGGUUGGCCGAUGGCUGAUUAGCUAGUUGGUGGGGUAAAGGCCUACCAAGGCGACGAUCAGUAGCUGGUCUGAGAGGACGACCAGCCACACUGGGACUGAGACACGGCCCAGACUCCUACGGGAGGCAGCAGUGGGGAAUUUUGGACAAUGGGCGAAAGCCUGAUCCAGCAAUGCCGCGUGUGUGAAGAAGGCCUUCGGGUUGUAAAGCACUUUUGUCCGGAAAGAAAUCCUUGGCUCUAAUACAGUCGGGGGAUGACGGUACCGGAAGAAUAAGCACCGGCUAACUACGUG
rnacentral:rRNA from 1 species